rnacentral:rRNA from 1 species
UCAAAGCCUCACAAACACGACGGCCCGCGAAUCUGUUAUGAUAUUGGGUGGCGGAAGGCACAUUUCUGCCCCGAGCCCCCCACGUCUGGAUGAGGCGCCUUGCCUGGUGCGUGCUCGUCCUGGCAAACAACGAAACCCCGGCGCCGGUCGCGCCAAGGAACUCUAACAUAACAGCGUGCCUGUCGGCCCGGGAACGGUCCUACAGGGUGCGUCGCGACAUUUGUAUCCAAA